rnacentral:rRNA from 1 species
AACGGCGAGUGAAGCGGUAAAAGCUCAAAUUUGAAAUCUGGUACUUUCAGUGCCCGAGUUGUAAUUUGUAGAAUUUGUCUUUGAUUAGGUCCUUGUCUAUGUUCCUUGGAACAGGACGUCAUAGAGGGUGAGAAUCCCGUUUGGCGAGGAUACCUUUUCUUUGUAAGACUUUUUCGAAGAGUCGAGUUGUUUGGGAAUGCAGCUCAAAGUGGGUGGUAAAUUCCAUCUAAAGCUAAAUAUUGGCGAGAGACCGAUAGCCAACAAGUACAGUGAUGGAAAGAUGAAAAGAACUUUGAAAAGAGAGUGAAAAAGUACGUGAAAUUGUUGAAAGGGAAGGGCAUUUGAUCAGACAUGGUGUUUUUUGCAUGCACUCGCCUCUCGUGGGCUGGGCCUCUCAAAAUUUCACUGGGCCAACAUCAAUUCUGGCAGCAGGAUAAAUCAUUAAGAAUGUAGCUACUUCGGUAGUGUUAUAGCUUUUUGGAAUACUGUUAGCCGGGAUUGAGGACUGCGCUUCGGCAAGGAUGUUGGCAUAAUGGUUAAUGCCGCCGUCUGAA